rnacentral:rRNA from 1 species
GAAUCAUCGAGUCUUUGAACGCAUAUUGCGGCUCCGGGUCAUUCCCGGAGCCACGCCUGUCUGAGGGUCGGCGAACGUACUCGCAAGAUUCCUUUGCCCACGCAUAGGUUCUUGCGCCUUGGUGGUCGCGCGCUUCUCCGGAAGCAUCGCGUUCGCCGUAGAAGAGAACGGGUUUCGCAUGCCUUGGCGCUGUCGCCUCAUCGGGAAGGCAUUCCCUUUGACGUGCGGAGACGCAGCUCGUGUAGUGCGAGUCUUGCGCUUCGCGCUCAAGCUACGGGGAAAGUCUGAAAGGUGCGGGCUUCGGAUGCCGGCGUUACCCCGCGGAAACGGAGCGAGAGACCAUCGCGUYUCUUUCUCUCUCACACUCCGACCUCAGAUCAGACGAGACUACCCGCUGAAUUUAAGCAUAUUAAUAAGCGGAGGAAAAGAAACUAACA